UACUUAGGGAAAGACACCUGCCUAAGAUCACAGGUCAAACCAGGCAUGGUUGUUUAUGCCUGUUCUCCAAACAUUAAGGAAGUAGACGCAGGAGGAUCCGAGUUCGAAACCAGCUCUGAAUGUACAGAGAAUUCGAGGCCAGCUGGGCCUACAGGACCCGUUUCUCAACAACCAACCAACCAUGGAAACCAGAGAAACGUUGAUCCUCAGAGAGAUCUAGAAGCCUGCUGAAGCCUGCAAGCAAGCCUACAACCUCCCUCAAGCUUCCUCGCCCUAAACCGGAGAGUCACCCCCUGAGCCUCCUUCCUGCUGGGGAACCCACUCCUUGGUCAGCAGUCUCCAAAUGAAGAAACCGGAAGAGCCAGAGCCGACUGAAGUGUGUCCAUGAGCAUGCGCAGCCCUCCGUGCGGCUGGCUUAACUCCUGCAUUUUCCGCAGCCCUUUCUCUGUACUCAUAGCUCAUAGGAAAGUCACGUUUUUGCUGUAGAAUUAAAGUUUAUGACAGCGCCUUCCAAAAACGGCAACUCUUAAGUGGAUGUAUGUGUCCUGCACCCGGCCUCCCAUCACAGGAAAGAUGGCAGUCAAACAUUAAAGUCGAACCCAGGAACUCAGGGCUGCAGCUGUUGCUAGAAAUGAUUGCUCUUUCCCCAGUGAAUAACAGGAAGGCCCUACACUGCUCUUUCACUGUUGUGGCCCAAACCCUUCCUUGCCCUCCAAGACAGUCUGUAAGCUUCGGAAUGGAAAUGAUUGACAGACCCUCAGAGCCGACCUCGAUGUGCCUAGAUGCCCUGGUGCUGGUUCGGCUCUCCUGGGAGUGCCCUAUGACUCUGUGCACUGGGAAGCCGGCUCCCAGCAGCGUGUGGCUAUUCAGGAAGCACCGAAAU
rnacentral:lncRNA from 1 species